rnacentral:rRNA from 1 species
GACAGAGGGUGCAAACGUUGUUCGGAAUCACUGGGCGUAAAGCGCGUGUAGGCGGCUUGGCAAGUCGGAUGUGAAAUCCCACGGCUCAACCAUGGAAGUGCAUUCGAAACUGCCAGACUAGAGUCCUGGAGAGGAAGGCGGAAUACUUGGUGUAGAGGUGAAAUUCGUAGAUAUCGAGUGGAACACCGGUGGCGAAGGCGGCCUUCUGGACAGUGACUGACGCUGAAACGCGAAAGCGUGGGGAGCAAACAGG